rnacentral:misc_RNA from 1 species
GAAAUGCGAUAAGUAGUGUGAAUUGCAGAAUUCAGUGAAUCAUCGAAUCUUUGAACGCACAUUGCGCCCCUUGGUAUUCCAUGGGGCAUGCCUGUUCUAGCGUCAUUUGUACCCUCAAGCUCUGCUUGGUGUUGGGUGUUUGUCCCCGUCUCCGCGCGUGGACUCGCCCCAAAGUGAUUGGCAGCCGGCGUACUGGUCCCGGAGCGCAGCACAUGUCGCGCAAACGAGUGCCUUGGUACGGCGGCGUCCAUAAGCCCCUCUCUCACGCUCUUGACCUCGGAUCAGGUAGGGAUACCCGCUGAACAUAAGC